rnacentral:rRNA from 1 species
UACAGAGGUCUCAAGCGUUGUUCGGAUUCACUGGGCGUAAAGGGUGCGUAGGCGGUCGGGUAAGUCUGAUGUGAAAUCUCACAGCUUAACUGUGAAACUGCAUUGGAUACUAUCCGGCUCGAGGAAUGGAGGGGAGACUGGAAUACUUGGUGUAGCAGUGAAAUGCGUAGAUAUCAAGUGGAACACCAGUGGCGAAGGCGAGUCUCUGGACAUUUCCUGACGCUGAGGCACGAAAGCCAGGGGAGCAAACGGG